rnacentral:rRNA from 1 species
CCAGCAGUAAACGAUGUGAGCUGAUGUGAGGAGGAAUUCGACCCCUUCCGUGGUCGAAGCUAACGCGAUAAGCUCACGCCUGAGGGAGUACGGCCGCAAGGCUAAAACUCAAAGAAAUUGACGGAGACCCGCACAAGCGGUGGAGUAUGUGGCUUAAUUCGAUGCAACGCGAAGAACCUUUACCUGGCCUUGACAUGCAUUGUGUCGUCGGUGAAAGCCGGCUAGUCCUGGAAACAGGACGCUUUGCACAGGUGCUGCAUGGCUGUCGUCAGCUCGUGUCGUGAGAUGUUGGGUUAAGUCCCGCAACGAGCGCAACCCUUGUGGUCAGUUACUAACCGGCUUAGCCGGAGGACUCUGGCCAGACUGCCCUGUCAAACGGGGAGGAAGGUGGGGACGACGUCAAGUCAGUAUGGCCCUUAUGGCCAGGGCUGCACACGUACUACAAUGCCCGGUACAAUGUGAACCGAAACCGCGAGGUGGAGGAAAUCGCUCUUGAAAACCGGGCCCAGUUCGGAUUGGAGUCUGCAACUCGACUCCAUGAAGUCGGAAUCGCUAGUAAUGGCGUAUCAGCAACGACGCCGUGAAUACGUUCCCGGGUCUUGUACGCACCGCCCGUCACAUCAUGGAAGUCUCCUGUACCCGAAGCACGUGCGCCAACCUUUUAGGAGGCAGCGUUCGAAGGUAUGGGAGGUAACUGGGAUGAAGUCGUAACAAGGUAACCAAGGGCGAA